GGUGGAUGUGCCCGAAAGGGAGCCGUAACACAGGUGCUGCAUGGCUGUCGUCAGCUCGUGUCGUGAGAUGUUGGGUUAAGUCCCGCAACGAGCGCAACCCUUGUCCCUAGUUGCUACGCAAGAGCACUCCAGGGAGACUGCCGGUGACAAACCGGAGGAAGGUGGGGAUGACGUCAAGUCCUCAUGGCCCUUAUGGGUAGGGCUUCACACGUCAUACAAUGGUCGGAACAGAGGGUUGCCAAGCCGCGAGGUGGAGCCAAUCCCAGAAAACCGAUCGUAGUCCGGAUCGCAGUCUGCAACUCGACUGCGUGAAGCUGGAAUCGCUAGUAAUCGCGGAUCAGCAUGCCGCGGUGAAUACGUUCCC
rnacentral:rRNA from 1 species